GAUGGUCAAAAGUCAGAAGCUUCAAAUUCUGAUAGGCAGAAGAAUGUCCAGAAGGGAAAGGAGAAGUCUGACAAGAAGAAUGUUCAGUGUUACUGUUGCAAGAACUUUGAUCAAUAUGCCAGAGAUUGCUGGUCCAACAAAGAAAGGAAGUCAGAAGAAGCAAAUGUAGCCAGAGGAGAUUCAGAUGAUGAACCUGUGUUAUUUAUGGCUUAUGAAUCUGAUGAGGAACCAGUGAAAUUGUCAUUUUAUUAUUCUGAAGGGGAAGAAGAAUAUGACUCUGAAUAUUUUGAUUCUGAAGGAGUGAUUUUGUAUGAGUCGGAAUUAGAAUAUGACUACGAGUCAGAAUCAGAAGAUGAC